rnacentral:rRNA from 1 species
CCUACGGGUGGCAGCAGUGAGGAAUAUUGGUCAAUGGACGAGAGUCUGAACCAGCCAAGUAGCGUGAAGGAUGACUGCCCUAUGGGUUGUAAACUUCUUUUAUAUGGGAGUAAAACAGGGUAUGCAUACCCUCUUGUAUGUACCAUAUGAAAAAGGAUCGGCUAACACCGUGCCAGCAGCCGCGGUAAUACGGAGGAUCCGAGCGUUAUCCGGAUUUAUUGGGUUUAAAGGGAGGGAAGGUGGAUGGUUAAGUAAGUUGUGAAAGUUUGCGGCUGAACCGUCGAAUUGCAGUUGAAACUGGCAGUCUUGAGUGCGGUAGAGGUGGGCGGAAUGCGUGGUGUAGCGGUGAAAUGCUUAGAUAUCACGAAGAACACCGAUUGCGAAGGCAGCUCACUGGACUGCGACUGACGCUGAUGCUCGAAAGCGUGGGUAUCAAACAGGAUUAGAUACCCUUGUAGUC